CCCUGUCAGCACAGAGCCCGAUGUGGGGCUCUGACUCAAGAACCGUGAGAUCAUGACCUGAGCCGAAAUCGAGGGUCAGAUGCUUAACUGACAGAGCCACCCAGGCGCCCCUCUCUUAGCUGUUUUUGAUGGGAGGGUCAGGAGGGGAGACGGCAAAAGGGGAUGGGAGAGGAAGGGCUGUGUCUGCCUCUGCCAUCAUGAAUCAAGGCUGCACCCCAGCCUGGGUGCCGAGCGUGUGAGUGCCGGCUGGUGGAUCGCCCUUGCCUGUGCCCCCAACAUGUGGAACCGGUGUGAGUGUGCUCAGCUCCAGGGGUCGUGCAACGGAAAGAACAGAUGGAAGUUUUCAGGUCAUGGCAAUGAAGAGAGUUCCCUUUCCACAUAGCUAAAGAAAAAAAGGAAUACGUCAGGACUGUGAAAUUUUGAGAUGAGAAAGAAGGCACAACAGUAACACAGGUGGAGUAAAACGGAAACAGAUGCUCCUCAAGGAAGCUUUGUCCCCCUCUGGGCUCACAGAGAGUCUUUAGCUCCUGGAUGCACCUUCCUGUGCCUCACGGGUUCAUGAAGAUCCACCACUCCAGCCGCUCGCACUGCUUGCGACCUUGCCCGAGAAAAGGUCCUCCCGCCCUCUCAUCUGGAACUUGUAUAUUCCAGAAACUCUUAGAGGAUGUUCUUUAUUACCACGUUUCUCAAGCUGUGGAUUUGACAAGCUGCAGAAUUUGAGUUCAUUUUAUUUUCGUUCAGAAAACAUAGGCACCUGGUUUUGGUAUGUAUAAAAAUCAGCAACAUGGAAACAAGCAUACCAAGCAAAGUUCAGAUGAGACAUGAAGGUAAAGAAAGAUUUCUUUGGUAUUUGGUGGAUCUCCUCACCAGGACAACUGUGAUAAUUAAGAUAUUCCUUCUUCCUUUAUUUAUUCAUUCCUUCAUCAACUACUCAGUGUGCAUUUACGCAUCCUAUGCAUUUUCUAGGAGCUGGUGAUAGAUCAGUGAGCGAAAUAGACUAAAAUCUUUUUCCUCGUGAUUAUACCCUACUGGGAAGAUACAUAAUAAACACAAUAAUAAGAAAAGGAUAUAUUCAUUUUAGGGGUGUUCAAAGAUGAUUAGUCUAUAGGAAAAUAUAAAAUAGGAAGAUCAGUUGUGUGGAGGGAAGGAAGGUCUCGGUUGUCCCAGUGAGAAUACAGUAUUUGGGCAGAACUUUGAAGGAGAUGUGGAAUGAGCCAUAUGGGUAUUUGGAGAAGAGGGUCUUGCUCCAGAGAGCAGCCCAGACAAAGAUCUGAGGUAGAAAAGUGCUGAGCAUGGUCAGGGAAUAGCAGGAACUGAGAGAGAGAGGGAGAUGAGGUCAAGUCAUGAGGGUGGCAGUGUGUGUGGACAACCAUCCAAGAGAAGAACCAGGAACUCAGUCAAAGAAUUUGCCGCAGGCUUCAAGUCAAUGCACAGUUAAGCAGCGUCAGUUUCACCUCCUGGAUUUCAGAUUCCUUUCCUCGUCUCCAUUCCCACUGCCUUGCCCUCCUCCAGCCUGCUGUCGGUUCUCCCCAGGGCGGCCUCACCUCUGACCUGGUUGGCCCCAUGUCUACUCCUGUAUUCAACAACCCUUUCCCCACACUGCAGCCAGGCACCUAUAAUCAGCUCCCUUUUGGUCAUGAGAGACUAAAAUUUUUUAUGGCCUCUAAGUUUUGAUUUUACCCACCUGUCCAGGCUCCUCUGGUAGCACACAGCUCUGUGAUACCUCCCAUCACUGGAGCUGUACAGAGAUGCUUCUCUUUCCCAGAAAUCAAGGUCUUGUUCACUUCCCCACUCUCCAGGGCACCCUCCCCACAUACAUCAUAUUAACUGCUGCUUGUAUUUUCUCUAUCAGCUCACAAGUCCAUUUUUCAGGAAAAACUGACCUGCUGCCCGUGCCGUGUAUGUGCAUUUUGCAUAUUAUGGUCAUUUUGCUGACUGUAAUUGUGCUAGAUCAUCAAUUUAAGGUUUAUAGAUGCACUUCUGGGAGUUUCUGUUCUUAGAAGAUUUGGGGAGCUAAAACUGAAUCUGCUCAUUAAAAAAUAGUAUUUGAGAGGCACGCGGGUGGCCCAGCAGGUCAAGCGUCUGACUUCAGCUCAGGUCAUGACCUCACAGGUCAUGGAUUCCAGCCCCACCUCAGGCUCUGUGCUGACAGCUCAGAGCCUGGAGCCUGCUUUAGAUUCUGUGUCUCCCACCGCCCCCCUGCCCUCCCCAACUCGCGCUCUGUCUCUGUCUCUAUCUCUCUAAAAUAAAAUUAAAAAAAAUCUUUUUAAAUAGUAUUAGAAUGUUAUGCUAAAAUGUUUCGCUUUUGGAGGGAUUCAGACUUUUAGACAGAUCACUCAUGGAAGCACUGUCGUAAAGAAUUUGCAGAAGUUGUUGGUUACUGGGGCAUCUGGGUGGCUCAGUCAGUUGAGCGUCUGACUUCCGCUCAGGUCAUGAUCUCGUGGUUCGUGAGUUCGAACCCCGCGUCGGCUCUGUGCUGACAGCUCAGGGCCUGGAGCCUGCUUCGGAUUCUGUGUCUCCCUCUCUCUGCUCCUCCCCUGCUCACACUCUGUCUCUCUCUCAAAAAUAAAUAAAGAUUAAAAGAAAAUUAAAAAAAGAAGUUGUUGGUUACUAAUGCCAAAGGUUUUUGAGAAGUAUUCUUAGAUGCCCAUGAACUUUACAUCAGGGAUAGUCAGAAAACUCCAUAUGAUAAAAGGAAGGGAGUUGCAUCUCAUUUCUUCAAAAAGGAAAUAGAAAACCAAAAGGCUUUACAACUGGUCAGAAGUAGUCAGGCUCCUUUCAUGAUGUGAGGAAGGGCAUAUGCCUCUACAAACCUAACAGGCUUCCCUCUGGGUUUCUGGUAGGUCAAAAAUCCUGAGAGGAUUGAGAGAGAAGGAAAUACGAAAGAUUUUUCCUGAGAAUAAAGGUAGCUAGAAAAGCAAACCAAAUACAUCUUUUCAAUUAGCUCUAAAUGCUUAAGCUAGGAAAAUUGACCCUGGUGGGGACAGAUGGCGGGCUUUGAAAGCUGUCCAGAGAGGCAAUUGCUGACAGACAGUUUGAAGUGCUUUUCCUGAUUCUCUGUGAUGAGUCAUCCUUUUAUAGGGCAAACCUGUCAUCUAGGUGCCAAACAGGUCGCCAUAGGAGAGUGAGUUGAGGUUGGUGCCUUGAAGUUUCCAGAGUUAAUGUUGGCCACCAUUCUUCGGGGGGUCUCCUCCCUGUAGUUAGAGUCAGAGCCAAGCUUUCAAAAGAAAAAGCAGAUGAACAGACAAAAAAGAAAGCCCAUUUUUCCCCUUCUUCUCUUAUGAUAGUGAAAUAGAAAAGUGGAAAGAAGAAAAAACUCCACUCAUUGUACCAUUCCUAUCAUUUACCAAGUUUCCGAAUAUGAUCAUACAGUGAUUAGUUGCAAGCAGGAGAGGAGAAGUCGGGCUCGUGUAAGCAGAAAACACAGGCACUAAAUAGCUCACAAAAUCUCCGAAAUCAGGCGGAGAGUUGACCGUGUCGUGAAAAAUGGUUAAAAAAAAUCAUUCUGCAGACUGGUCCUUUGCAGACAUCCCACGGUCUUUCCUGGACCCAGACAGAGAUAUCCCUAGUGCGCUGUUAAUCACGGCUGAUUCUAGAAACUGGAUUUGCUUUGCCUCAAGUGCCAGCCUCAGAACAUUUAAUUCUGGGCAGUUCCUCCCUUUUUUGAUUGCAAAUCCUUGUCCCAAAUCUGGCACGAAAGCACCUGAGCGACAGAGCCUGGGUGUUCUUGCUGCAAGGGAUGCUGGGAACAUUUUAGCCUCUUUUCAGGGUGGAUACCCCAAACACAGAAGGAAGGUUCAGACGCUGGUUUAAAAAAAAUCAUGACAGGGGCGCCUGGGUGGCGCAGUCGGUUAAGCGUCCGACUUCAGCCAGGUCACGAUCUCGCCAGGUCUGAUCUAGCC